UACGUAGGGUCCAAGCGUUGUCCGGAAUUAUUGAGCAUAAAGAGCUCGUAGGCGGUGUGUCGCGUCGGAUGUGAAAGCCCGGGGCUUAACUUCGGGUCUGCAUUCGGUACGGGCAUGCUGGAGUUCGGUAGGGGAGACUGGAAUUCCUAGUAUAGCGGUGAAAUGCGCAGAUAUCAGGAGGAACACCGGUGGCGAAGGCGGGUCUCUGGGCCGAUACUGACGCUGAGGAGCGAAAGCGUGGGGAGCGAACAGG
rnacentral:rRNA from 1 species